rnacentral:tRNA from 1 species
UGCCGAGUAGUGUAGCGGUAACACUACGGAUUUUGGUUCCGUCAUUGUGGGUUCGACUCCCGCCUCGGCAACAA